AGAGUUUGAUCCUGGCUCAGAACGAACGCUGGCGGCAGGCCUAAAACAUGCAAGUCGAACGCCCUAGCAAUAGGGGGUGGCGCACGGGUGAGUAACACGUGGGAAUAUGCCUUUUGGUACGGAACAACGUCGGGAAACUGACGCUAAUACCGUAUGGUCCCUUCGGGGUAAAGAUUUAUCGCCAAAAGAUUAGCCCGCGUCUGAUUAGCUAGUUGGUGAGGUAAGAGCUCACCAAGGCGACGAUCAGUAGCUGGUCUGAGAGGACGAUCAGCCACACUGGGACUGAGACACGGCCCAGACUCCUACGGGAGGCAGCAGUUAGGAAUAUUGGACAAUGGACGAAAGUCUGAUCCAGCCAUGCCGCGUGAGCGAUGAAGGCCUUCGGGUUGUAAAGCUCUUUAGUCCACGAUUAUAAUGAC
rnacentral:rRNA from 1 species